UAAGGAAUAUUGGUCAAUGGACGCAAGUCUGAACCAGCCAUGCCGCGUGAAGGAUGAAGGUCCUCUGGAUUGUAAACUUCUCUUAUCUGGGACGAAAACGGGAUUUUUAUCUCAAUUGACGGUACCAGGGGAAUAAGCACCGGCUAACUCCGUGCCAGCAGCCGCGGUACUACGGAGGGUGCGAGCGUUAUCCGGAUUUACUGGGUUUAAAGGGUGCGUAGGUGGGCUUAUAAGUCAGUGGUGAAAUCUCCGAGCUUAACUUGGAAACUGCCGUUGAUACUAUGGGUCUUGAAUUAUCUGGAGGUAAGCGGAAUAUGUCAUGUAGCGGUGAAAUGCUUAGAUAUGACAUAGAACACCAAUUGCGAAGGCAGCUUACUACAUAUAAAUUGACGCUGAGGCACGAAAGCGUGGGGAUCAAAC
rnacentral:rRNA from 1 species